rnacentral:rRNA from 1 species
UACGUAGGUGGCAAGCGUUGUCCGGAUUUACUGGGCGUAAAGAGCGCGCAGGCGGUCGAUUUAGUCGCGUGUGAAAGCCCCCGGCUCAACUGGGGAGGGUCACGCGAUACUGAUCGACUCGAAGGCAGGAGAGGGUAGUGGAAUUCCCCAAGUAGAGGUGAAAUUCGUAGAUAUGGGGAGGAACACCGGUGGCGAAGGCGGCCACCUGGACGGUAACUGACGCUGAGACGCGAAAGCGUGGGGAGCAAACAGG